rnacentral:tRNA from 1 species
GGUGAUAUAGCUUAAAUUGGCAGAGCAGCAGUGUACAGCACUGCGUGUGCGAGUUCGAACCUCGCUAUCACCGCCA